UUUUUUAGUGUUUCCACUAAAUAAUCUAGUGUGGAAAUUUUGAUUGUGAAUCUUUCAUGUUUACUGAAAGGUGUGGUCGUCCCUAGUGAGUCAUUGUCGCUAUGAAUUAGUUCAAUUUGCGUUUUGAAUGAGUUAAAUGGUGAUUUUCCGCUUUUGAUGUGUCUAAUAUCUGAGGAUUCAGUUGUGUGUAUUGAUUCGCCUGAUGUAUUAUAAAUUUUUCGGGAUAGCGUGUCGGCUACAAUUUUUCUUAUCCAGGGCUCAAAUUGAUGUUUUAACUUCAUCUAUAACUGAGAAUCAACAAAUGGUGGCUACACUGGAAAACAGUCUGCUAUCUGUAAACUAAACAUCAGAAAUGAAAUGCAUAUUAACUUAGAUAUUUUCAAAGCGUUGCCAGACUUCACGGGCAACAGAAACCAGUAUAAAUCAUGGAGAAAACGUGCCUGGACACACAUGGAGAACGUCAAGAAUUACUCACUGCCUCCACGUACUACACGGCACUUUCGAUUGUACAUUCCAAAAUUCAAUGAGAGGCAGCUGAUAUUUUUAAAAGCCACAAGACCAAAUUCAACUUCUAUUCAAUAAUAAACCGUCUCGAUUACACUUAUGGUCCGCAUAUGUUUUUAUGUUUUGCUCGAAUGAAUGAAAAUAAUAAAGCAAAGAAGAAGGACUCUGGCAGAUUUCCAUUGCGAAGUCAUCAAGUCAAUUAUUCUUGCACUUACUAAAGUGGAGAUGGAUAAGGCUUUGUUUUUCUCAAGCAAGUGAAUGAAUUGCCGUGUCUUCAACGCCUCUACAGCGAUACGGGCAAAGCAGUUAAUAUCCUUGUCGACACUGGAGCAACAAAUAACUAUGUAUAUAAUCUCUAAAUGCAAUAUCGAAAGUGAAAUAAUCCAACCGAGUAAAAGUUCGUACAAUUCACCCAUUUGGACAUUUGCUAAAAAAGGUAACGAUGAACAAGGGAAACCUAAACGAAGAAUGGUUGUAGCCUUUCAAAAGCUAAACGCUAAUGCAAAAAUAGGGAUUAUUCGAGCUUGGCAAUACUGCGCAAUAUUGCGCAAACAUCAUAUUCGAUGUAAAAAUGUGGCAACUCGUGCAAAAGUCAGACGUUCGAGCGAGUAAAAACUUCACACUUGAUGCGCGCCAAUAAUGGAAGA